GUUGACCUCGAAUCAGGUAGGAAUACCCGCUGAACUUAAGCAUAUCAAUAAGCGGAGGAAAAGAAACCAACAGGGAUUGCCCCAGUAACGGCGAGUGAAGCGGCAACAGCUCAAAUUUGAAAUCUGGCUCUCGGGCCCGAGUUGUAAUUUGUAGAGGAUGCUUUUGGUGAGGUGCCUUCCGAGUUCCCUGGAACGGGACGCCAUAGAGGGUGAGAGCCCCGUCUGGUUGGACACCGACCCUCUGUAAAGCUCCUUCGACGAGUCGAGUAGUUUGGGAAUGCUGCUCUAAAUGGGAGGUAUAUGUCUUCUAAAGCUAAAUACCGGCCAGAGACCGAUAGCGCACAAGUAGAGUGAUCGAAAGAUGAAAAGAACUUUGAAAAGAGAGUUAAAAAGUACGUGAAAUUGUUGAAAGGGAAGCGCUUGUGACCAGACUUGGGCUUGGUUGAUCAUCCGGGGUUCUCCCCGGUGCACUCUUCCGGCCCAGGCCAGCAUCAGUUCGCCCUGGGGGACAAAGGCUUCGGGAAUGUGGCUCUCUCCGGGGAGUGUUAUAGCCCGCUGCGUAAUACCCUGUGGCGGACUGAGGUUCGCGCAUUCGCAAGGAUGCUGGCGUAAUGGUCAUCAGUGACCCGUCUUGAAACACGGACCAAGGAGUCGUCUUCGUAUGCGAGUGUUCGGGUGUCAAACCCCUACGCGAAAUGAAAGUGAACGCAGGUGAGAGCUUCGGCGCAUCAUCGACCGAUCCUGAUGUUAUCGGAUGGAUUUGAGUAAGAGCAUACGGGGCCGGACCCGAAAGAAGGUGAACUAUGCCUGUGUAGGGUGAAGCCAGAGGAAACUCUGGUGGAGGCUCGCAGCGGUUCUGACGUGCAAAUCGAUCGUCAAACAUGGGCAUGGGGGCGAAAGACUAAUCG
rnacentral:rRNA from 1 species